CGGCGGACGGGUGAGUAACACGUGGAUAACCACCUAUAAGACUGGGAUAACUUCGGGAAACCGGAGCUAAUACCGGAUAAUAUAUUGAACCGCAUGGUUCAAUAGUGAAAGACGGUUUUGCUGUCACUUAUAGAUGGAUCCGCGCCGCAUUAGCUAGUUGGUAAGGUAACGGCUUACCAAGGCAACGAUGCGUAGCCGACCUGAGAGGGUGAUCGGCCACACUGGAACUGAGACACGGUCCAGACUCCUACGGGAGGCAGCAGCC
rnacentral:rRNA from 1 species